rnacentral:misc_RNA from 1 species
CAACCCUCAAGCUCUGCUUGGUAUUGGGCCCUGCUGGCAACGGCAGGCCUUAAAAACAGUGGCGGUGCCUUUAGGUCCUGAGCGUAGUACAUUUCUCGCUAUAGGUCCCUGAAGGUUACUGGCCAGCAACCCCAAUUUUUCUAU